GACGAACGCUGGCGGCGUGCUUAACACAUGCAAGUCGAACGAAGAGCGACGGAAGCUUGCUUCUAUCAAUCUUAGUGGCGAACGGGUGAGUAACGCGUAAUCAACCUGCCCUUCAGAGGGGGACAACAGUUGGAAACGACUGCUAAUACCGCAUACGAUCUAACCUCGGCAUCGAGGAUAGAUGAAAGGUGGCCUCUACAUGUAAGCUAUCACUGAAGGAGGGGAUUACGUCUGAUUAGCUAGUUGGAGGGGUAACGGCCCACCAAGGCGAUGAUCAGUAGCCGGUCUGAGAGGAUGAACGGCCACAUUGGGACUGAGACACGGCCCAGACUCCUACGGGAGGCAGCAGUGGGGAAUCUUCCGCAAUGGACGAAAGUCUGACGGAGCAACGCCGCGUGAGUGAUGACGGCCUUCGGGUUGUAAAGCUCUGUUAAUCGGGGCGAAAGGCCUUCUUGCGAAUAGUGAGAAGGAUUGACGGUACCGGAAUAGAAAGCCACGGCUAACUACGUG
rnacentral:rRNA from 1 species